rnacentral:rRNA from 1 species
UACGGAGGGUGCAAGCGUUAUCCGGAUUCACUGGGUUUAAAGGGUGCGUAGGUGGGCAGGUAAGUCAGUGGUGAAAUCUCCGGGCUUAACUCGGAAACUGCCAUUGAUACUAUCUGUCUUGAAUACCGUGGAGGUCAGCGGGAUAUGUCAUGUAGCGGUGAAAUGCUUAGAUAUGACAUAGAACACCAAUUGCGAAGGCAGCUGGCUACACGAAUAUUGACACUGAUGCACGAAAGCGUGGGGAUCAAACAGG